rnacentral:rRNA from 1 species
ACGGAAGGCAGCAGUAGGGAAUAUUGGUCAACGGGGGAAACCCUGAACCAGCGACGCCGCGUGAGUGAAGAAGUAUUUCGGUAUGUAAAGCUCUAUCAGCAGGGACGAUAAUGACGGUACCUGACUAAGAAGCCCCGGCUAACUACGUGCCAGCAGCCGCGGUAAUACGUAGGGGGCAAGCGUUAUCCGGAUUUACUGGGUGUAAAGGGAGCGUAGGUGGCCAUGCAAGUCAGAUGUGAAAACCCGGGGCUCAACCCCGUGACUGCAUUUGAAACUGCGUGGCUGGAGUACAGGAGAGGUAAGCGGAAUUCCUAGUGGAGCGGUGAAAUGCGUAGAUGUUAGGAGGAACACCAGUGGCGAAAGCGGCUUACUGGACUGAAACUGACACUGAGGCUCGAAAGCGUGGGGAGCGAACAGGAUUAGAUACCCUGGUA